GAUGAAGAACGUAGCAAAAUGCGAUACUUGGUGUGAAUUGCAGAAUCCCGUAAACCAUCGAGUUUUUGAACGCAAGUUGCGCCCGAAGCCUUUUGGCCGAGGGCACGUCUGCCUGGGCGUCACGCAUCGCGUCGCCCCCCACAAUUCUCCGUAAAAGGAACAUGUGUUUUGGGGGCGGAUAUUGGUCUCCCGUGCUCAUGGCGUGGUUGGCCGAAAUAGGAGUCCUUUCGAUGGACGCACGAACUAGUGGUGGUCGUAAAAACCCUCGUCUUUUGUUUCGUGCUGUUGCUCGCAAGGUAAACUCUUUAAAAACCCCAAUGUGUCGUCUCUUGACGACGCUUCGACCGCUACCCCAGGUCAGGCGGGACUACCCGCUGAGUUUAAGCAUAUCAAUAAGCGGAGGA
rnacentral:misc_RNA from 1 species